rnacentral:lncRNA from 1 species
CCUGGGCCUGGCAGCCACCCUAGGUGGUGGGGGCCAUGCCCACUGUGUGGAUGAGGAGCCGAGUCACAGAGAGGCAAGCAGGUGGACAGGAGCCCCACAAUGAGCCAAGGGAGGACCCGGGUGCGAAUCUUGGCCACUGCUCCAGGAGCACAUGCCCUCAGAAGGACUCUACUGGCCCUGGAGGCCCCUGGCCCCUGCCUCGGCCCUUUGGCUUCCAUUGUGCAUUAGCCUCUUUGGAGGCAGAUGCAGUCAGUCAGAACUCACAGGAGUGGAGAACCCG